rnacentral:tRNA from 1 species
GUGACCGAGGGAGCCCCCACCUUCGCCUCGCCGG